rnacentral:rRNA from 1 species
CUUACACAUGCAAGUCGAACGGCAGCACGGGAGCAAUCCUGGUGGCGAGUGGCGAACGGGUGAGUAAUAUAUCGGAACGUGCCCAGUCGUGGGGGAUAACGUAGAGAAAUUUACGCUAAUACCGCAUACGAUCUAAGGAUGAAAGCGGGGGACUCGCAAGGGCCUCGCGCGAUUGGAGCGGCUGAUAUCAGAUUAGGUUGUUGGUGAGGUAAAAGCUCACCAAGCCGACGAUCUGUAGCUGGUUUGAGAGAACGACCAGCCACACUGGGACUGAGACACGGCCCAGACUCCUACGGGAGGCAGCAGUGGGGAAUUUUGGACAAUGGGCGAAAGCCUGAUCCAGCAAUGCCGCGUGCAGGAAGAAGGCCUUCGGGUUGUAAACUGCUUUUGUACGGAACGAAACGGCUNUUUCUAAUAAAGAGGGCUAAUGACGGUACCGUAAGAAUAAGCACCGGNUAACUACGUGCCAGCAGCCGCGGUAAUACGUAGGGUGCGAGCGUUAAUCGGAAUUACUGGGCGUAAAGCGUGCGCAGGCGGUUAUGUAAGACAGUUGUGAAAUCCCCGGGCUCAACCUGGGAAUUGCAUCUGUGACUGCAUGGC